UACGGAGGAUCCGAGCGUUAUCCGGAUUUAUUGGGUUUAAAGGGUGCGCAGGCGGAAGAUUAAGUCGGUGGUGAAAUUUUGCAGCUCAACUGUAAAAGUGCCAUUGAUACUGGUUUUCUUGAGUGUGGAUGAAGUAGGCGGAAUUUGUGGUGUAGCGGUGAAAUGCAUAGAUAUCACGAGGAACUCCGAUUGCGCGGGCAGCUUACUAAACCAUAACUGACGCUCAGGCACAAAGGCGUGGGGAUCAAACAGGAUUAGAUACCCU
rnacentral:rRNA from 1 species